rnacentral:rRNA from 1 species
UACGAAGGGUGCAAACGUUGCUCGGAAUCAUUGGGCGUAAAGCGCACGCAGGCGGCCUCAAAAGUCGGAUGUGAAAUCCCGUGGCUCAACCAUGGACGUGCAUUCGAAACUGCGAGGCUUGAGUAUGGAAGAGGGUCGCGGAAUUCCCGGUGUAGAGGUGAAAUUCGUAGAUAUCGGGAGGAACACCAGUGGCGAAGGCGGCGACCUGGGCCAAUACUGACGCUGAGGUGCGAAAGCGUGGGGAGCAAACAGG